CUGCUUCCAGGAAAAGCCACUAAGCUUCAGCUACACACGACCGUACCGCAAACCGACACUGGUGCGCGAGAUGAGUAUUCUAAGGCGCUUGAGAGAACUCAGGAGAAGGAACUCGGCAAAUUGACACCGUAACUUCGGAAGAAGGUGUGCCUUUAGUAGGUGAAGUCCCUCGCGGAUGGAGCCCAAUGAGGUUGCAAAAAAUCGGUGGCUGCGACUGUUUAUUAAAAACACAGCACUCUGCAAACACGAAAGUGGACGUAUAGGGUGUGACGCCUGCCCGGUGCUGGAAGAUUAAAUGAUGGGGUGCAAGCUCUUGAUUGAAGUCCCAGUAAACGGCGGCCGUAACAAUAACGGUCCUAAGGUAGCGAAAUUCCUUGUCGGGUAAGUUCCGACCUGCACGAAUGGCGUAACGAUGGCCACACUGUCUCCUCCUGAGACUCAGCGAAGUUGAAAUGUUUGUGAUGAUGCAAUCUCCCCGCGGAAAGACGGAAAGACCCCAUGAACCUUUACUGUAGCUUUGUAUUGGACUUUGAACAGAUCUGUGUAGGAUAGGUGGGAGGCUUUGAAGCAGGGUCGCUAGAUCUUGUGGAGCCAACGUUGAAAUACCACCCUGGUGUGUUUGAGGUUCUAACCUAGGUCCAUUAUCUGGAUCGGGGACAGUGCAUGGUAGGCAGUUUGACUGGGGCGGUCUCCUCCCAAAGUGUAACGGAGGAGUUCGAAGGUACGCUAGGUACGGUCGGACAUCGUGCUAAUAGUGCAAUGGCAUAAGCGUGCUUAACUGCGAGACUGACAAGUCGAGCAGAUGCGAAAGCAGGACAUAGUGAUCCGGUGGUUCUGUAUGGAAGGGCCAUCGCUCAACGGAUAAAAGGUACUCUGGGGAUAACAGGCUGAUACCGCCCAAGAGUUCAUAUCGACGGCGGUGUUUGGCACCUCGAUGUCGGCUCAUCUCAUCCUGGGGCUGUAGCCGGUCCCAAGGGUAUGGCUGUUCGCCAUUUAAAGAGGUACGUGAGCUGGGUUUAAAACGUCGUGAGACAGUUUGGUCCCUAUCUUCCGUGGGCGCUGCAGAUUUGAGGAAGCCUGCUCCUAGUACGAGAGGACCGGAGUGGACACACCUCUGGUGUAUCGGUUGUCACGCCAGUGGCAUUGCCGAGUAGCUAAGUGUGGAAGAGAUAACCGCUGAAAGCAUCUAAGCGGGAAACUCGUUUCAAGAUGAGAUCUGCCGGGGCCUUGAGCCCCCUGAAGAGUCGUUCAAGACCAGGACGUUGAUAGGUCGGGUGUGGAAGCGCAGUAAUGCGUUAAGCUAACCGAUACUAAUUGCUCGUGCGACUUGACC
rnacentral:rRNA from 1 species